CCUCCGUCUUGUGCCCGCGUUCUCCGUCUUUCCUGUUUUUCCCGGGCGCGCCGGCGGUCCGGCCCGUCUGAUGUGAAAGCCCGGGGCUCAACCCCGGUACUGCAUUGGAAACUGUCGGACUAGAGUGUCGGAGGGGUAAGUGGAAUUCCUAGUGUAGCGGUGAAAUGCGUAGAUAUUAGGAGGAACACCAGUGGCGAAGGCGGCUUACUGGACGAUUACUGACGCUGAGGCUCGAAAGCGUGGGGAGCAAACAGG
rnacentral:rRNA from 1 species